AUUGAACGCUGGCGGCAGGCCUAACACAUGCAAGUCGAACGAGUGGCGGACGGGUGAGUAAUGUCUGGGAAACUGCCUGAUGGAGGGGGUAAACUACUGGAACCGGUGGCUAAUACCGCAUACCAUCGGAUUUGCCAGAUGGGGAUUAGCUAGUAGGUGGGGUAAAGGCUCACCUAGGCGACGAUCCCUACCUGGUCUGAGAGGAUGACCAGCCACACUGGAACUGUGACACGGUCCAGACUCCUACGGGAGGCAGCAGUGGGGAAUAUUGCACAAUGGGCGCAAGCCUGAUGCAGCCAUGCCGCGUGUAUGAAGAAGGCCUUCGGGUUGUAAAGUACUUUCAGCGGGGAGGCGUUACCCGCAGAAGAAGCACCGGCUAACUCCGUGCCAGCAGCCGCGGUAAUUC
rnacentral:rRNA from 1 species